rnacentral:misc_RNA from 1 species
CCACAUGCUCCAUCAUCGUGAAAACCCCUCUCCACCCUCUCAACACCACAUUCCACGCCAUCCUCACCUCUACCUGAUGAGGUCUCCGGAGGCGGUGUGUGGAUGAUAUGUUCCUUGCUCAGAAUUGAGGUCAAUAGGAUCGACGGUAAUGUCAUCGGAGAGCGGUUUAGAAUUGGUACCGCCUGCAACUACAGAGAAGAAUGACUAUUAAUGAAAAUGAAGGAAUGAGAAAUUGAAAUAGCACAGUGAGUAGGGAAUUAGGAAUGGAGAGAGACGAUUUUGGUUUAUUGGGGAAUGGAGAGAC